rnacentral:rRNA from 1 species
UCGAGAAUCUUCGGCAAUGGACGAAAGUCUGACCGAGCGACGCUGCGUGAAGGAAGAAGGCCUUCGGGUUGUAAACUUCUGUCGUGUGGGAAGAACAUUGACGGUACCACACAAGAAAGGGGCACCUAACUCUGUGCCAGCAGGUGCGGUAAUACAGGGGCCCCGAGCGUUAUCCGGAAUCAUUGGGCGUAAAGCGUCCGCAGGCGGUUAUGUGCGUCUGCUGUUAAUAGCUGGGCUCAACCCAGUUGCUGCAGUGGAUACGACAUAACUAGAGGCAGGAAGAGGUAGACGGAACUCAUAGUGAAGCAGUGAAAUGCGUUGAUAUUAUGGGGAACACCAAUUGCGAAGGCAGUCUACUGGUCCUGUCCUGACGCUCAGGGACGAAAGCGUGGGGAGCGAAGCGGAUUAGAUACCCGCGUAGUCCACGCCGUAAACGAUGUCAACUAGGCAUUGGGAGUAUCGACCCUCUCAGUGUCGUAGA